rnacentral:rRNA from 1 species
GGUAAGGUGAUAUGAACCGUUAUAACCGGCGAUACCCGAAUGGGGAAACCCAGUGUGAUUCGUCACACUAUCAUUAACUGAAUCCAUAGGUUAAUGAGGCGAACCGGGGGAACUGAAACAUCUAAGUACCCCGAGGAAAAGAAAUCAACCGAGAUUCCCCCAGUAGCGGCGAGCGAACGGGGAGGAGCCCAGAGCCUGAAUCAGCAUGUGUGUUAGUGGAAGCGUCUGGAAAGGCGCGCGAUACAGGGUGACAGCCCCGUACACAAAAGCGCAUGUGCUGUGAGCUCGAUGAGUAGGGCGGGACACGUGGUAUCCUGUCUGAAUAUGGGGGGACCAUCCUCCAAGGCUAAAUACUCCUGACUGACCGAUAGUGAACCAGUACCGUGAGGGAAAGGCGAAAAGAACCCCGGCGAGGGGAGUGAAAAAGAACCUGAAACCGUGUACGUACAAGCAGUGGGAGCACCCUUCGGGGUGUGACUGCGUACCUUUUGUAUAAUGGGUCAGCGACUUAUAUUCUGUAGCAAGGUUAACCGAAUAGGGGAGCCGGAGGGAAACCGAGUCUUAAUUGGGCGUUAAGUUGCAGGGUAUAGACCCGAAACCCGGUGAUCUAGCCAUGGGCAGGUUGAAGGUUGGGUAACACUAACUGGAGGACCGAACCGACUAAUGUUGAAAAAUUAGCGGAUGACCUGUGGCUGGGGGUGAAAGGCCAAUCAAACCGGGAGAUAGCUGGUUCUCCCCGAAAGCUAUUUAGGUAGCGCCUCGUGAAUUCAUCUCCGGGGGUAGAGCACUGUUUCGGCUAGGGGGCCAUCCCGGCUUACCAACCCGAUGCAAACUGCGAAUACCGGAGAAUGUUAUCACGGGAGACACACGGCGGGUGCUAACGUCCGUCGUGAAGAGGGAAACAACCCAGACCGCCAGCUAAGGUCCCAAAGUCAUGGUUAAGUGGGAAACGAUGUGGGAAGGCCCAGACAGCCAGGAUGUUGGCUUAGAAGCAGCCAUCAUUUAAAGAAAGCGUAAUAGCUCACUGGUCGAGUCGGCCUGCGCGGAAGAUGUAACGGGGCUAAACCAUGCACCGAAGCUGCGGCAGCGACACUGUGUGUUGUUGGGUAGGGGAGCGUUCUGUAAGCCUGCGAA